AUUACAACGAUUUUUUUUAUUUUUUUAACCUCAAUCUCUAUAAAAAUCAAAUCCCUUAUCGCCCAACACAUACCAUAAUAGAACUAGAUGGGUUUUCAAUCCAAGGUCUAUGGGACCUUGCAGCUGGUUGCAGGUGGAUUCUAUAUAUUUGGGGUGAUUACAUGCACUUAAUUCCACCAUGGAAUUAAAUUGAUGAGAAUUCUUUCUUUCUAUCUAUAUCCAGCAAACAAAAUUAAACAAGCUAUACAUCGAUCAGAUGUUCAUCAGCCGGGUGAGUGAUUUCCUUGCUAUGCUUGGUCAAGUGAGCAGUCUUUUGCGAAUUAGCCUUCGUUUCGUUGUCUGUUCGACCUUGAUCAAACAUAUAUGUUCGGGAAUAUAUCAAAAACCCUCAUUUAGACGUGUUUAGCACCAACAGGAUAACGAUAUACAUAAUAAAAUAACCUAGAUUUAGCGUCUACUAUGUUAUGAAAUAGGAUCUAAAAAUACCCUUUGUUUUGGCCCCUCCUCCAUUGAUGCCACGGGUGCAACAUAACCAAUUAGCUAGAUUUAUGCUCAUGCACCCAUUUGUCUUAUGAGGAAUUACUUUGGUUAGCUUUGUGGUUUGUGACUUUCAGGUGUACUGAAAUAAUGAUAUUGCUAUAGGAAGGAAAGAAAAACUGAUUACUGUCAAAUUAAUUAUAAUCCAUAAUAUAUUAAAUUUGCAUGUCUGCAAUGAAAUAUAUAUUUGUCAAUACCAAGUUAUAGGUAUUGUAGCAUACAAAAGGAUGAAAUAUAUGUUAAUUAUCUCUUAAGAUCAAGGAGCUUCAGAGCUUCAUAAAUAUUGUUCGAUGAAACUGUGAAAGUAGGUUUGAAGUUGGGAACUCAAGAGUAAAUUCGAUAACGAAAUUAGUCUUAGUAUAUAUUUGGGAGCUUCUAUCUAAUGGUCUCAUCAAUGUUAACCUCUGCAAAAGUUUUCCUUUCCACCAGAGAAUUGAAAACAAAAGUCCACUACAAAAUAAAUGCCUUGGAAAGGACAAUCUUGAUUCUUGAUCCAUAUCCAUAUUCUUAUAACAAAAGACUAAGGAACUAAAUAACUUUAGUUAUUAUUGAUUACUACUUCAAUAAAUUAUGUCAUUAACUUUUAGAGUUUAGAAGGAGGAGAAGAAGAAGAGGAAGAAGACACCCGUUCCUCUUUUUGAAUAGGUGUGAUUACCUUUAUAUACAUCUCUCUCUUUUUUCUCGAUUAGGUUAAGCUGGUACUGGUCCUCCCUUCCGGUGAGGAGUUCGAUAAAUAUAUUGAGGGACCAUGGCCUUUUUUAUACGAUGGGCAAUAACUGUUUUUUUGGGUUCUGGGCCUUGAUGUGUGGCCAGAACUUUAUUGAGGUCUUCAAUGGACUUAUGUACGAAAUGAAUUGUCUUGAAGCUCUUGUCUGUAUUGAGCUUUUUUUUUUUUUUUAUUCCAUACUCUGAAUCUGACACUCAAGCCUAUAACGAUUUUUUUAUUA